rnacentral:rRNA from 1 species
GGAUUAGGCAUGCAAGUCGAACGAGAAAGGUCCCUUCGGGGGCUGAGUAGAGUGGCGAACGGGACAGUAACACGUGGGAAACCUGCCCUGCAGUGGGGGAUAACACUUCCAACGAGGUGCUAAUACCGCAUUCGACCGCCGGUCGCAUGGCUGGCUGGUGAAAGGUGGCCUCUGCUUGCAAGCUGCCGCUGCUGGAUGGUCCCGCGCCCGAUUAGCUUGUUGGCGGGGUAACGGCCCACCAAGGCUACGAUCGGUAGGCGACCUGAGAGGGUGACCGCCGUCACUGGGACUGAGAUACGGCCCAGACUCCUACGGGAGGCAGCAGUCGAGAAGCUUCGGCAAUGGGCGAAAGCCUGACCGAGCGACGCCGCGUGAGCGAUGAAGGCCCUAGUGGUCGUAAAGCUCUGUCAGAUUGGGAACAAAUCCCGGGGGCGAACAACCCCCGGUGCUGAGGGUACCGUCAGAGGAAGCACCGGCUAACUCCGUGCCAGCAGCCGCGGUAAUACGGAGGGUGCGAGCGUUGUUCGGAUUCACUGGGUAUAAAGAGUUCGUAGGCGGCCCCGUAAGUCAGAGGUGAAAGCUGUCGGCUCAACCGACAAAUUGCCUUUGAAACUGCAGGGCUUGAGUCCGGGAGAGGAAGGUGGAAUUCCUGGUGUAGCGGUGAAAUGCGUAAAUAUCAGGAGGAACACCGGUGGCGAAGGCGGCCUUCUGGCCCGGCACUGACGCUGAGGAACGAAAGCCAGGGAGCGAACGGGAUUAGAUACCCCGGU